rnacentral:rRNA from 1 species
CCUACGGGCGGCUGCAGUGAGGAAUAUUGGUCAAUGGCCGGGAGGCUGAACCAGCCAAGCCGCGUGAAGGACGAAGGUACCAAGAAUUGUAAACUUCUUUUGUCAAGGGACAAAAUCAGGCUCUAGUCCCUGACCGAGGGUACCUGAAGAAAAAGCAUCGGCUAACUCCGUGCCAGCCGCCGCGGUAAUACGGGGGAUGUGAGCGUUAUCCGGAUUUAUUUGGUUUAAAGGGUGCGCAGGCGGUCUGUUAAGUCAGCGGGAAAAGCCCGGGGCUCAACCCCGGCGAGCCGUUGAAACUGGCUGUCUGGAGAUGGAGAGAGGUACGCGGAAUGCGCGGUGUAGCGGUGAAAUGCUUAGAUAUUGCGCAGAACUCCGAUUGCGAAGGCAGCAUACCGGCGGCGAUCUGACGCUGAGGCACGAAAGCGUGGGUAUCGAACAGGAUUAGAUACCCCAGUAGUC